CCGGAGACUGUGAAUGCACCCGUUCCGCCUGUCUAAGCCACGCUACCUCCACGCAAAACAGUCCGUGGAUAGCAAAACUAGUCAGUGACAUCAACGCGAAAGCACAAAGCCAAACUCCGGAGCGGCAACUCGUGGGCGCGACCCAACCGAGUAUGCAAGUGUAUCUCUGUCGAGCUCAAUCAGGCUCUCAAAGGCUAAAGUCAAGAAAAUAAGUCCAAUUGGCUACUAACCACUAGUCACGUGCCCUCGGCACAAUCGGAUCUCAAAAUGACCAAAUCCGGGUCCACCGUUAACCGCGACGGCACCGACUAGUCCGGAACAGUCUAAACACUACUGUAAAAAUAGACUCGGCAUCCCAGCACGAGUGUAACAGUAAAUUAGACUACCUGGGGUACUCACCGCAAGAACACUGCAACUAUAUAAAAGUACAAUGGCCCCUAAGGCUAAAUCAGGUAGUUUAAUAUAUGACAGGUUCCGAACACUGGUUUUCUCCUAUGUUUUAUCAAAGUCCAACAUGUAUGAUUAAUAAUAGCUAAUAACAUGCUCCCAAUUCAGUUAAUAUGUCUAAAACAUAUCUACUCCUGAAUUUGAGCUAAACAAUAAUAACUUGUAAUAUUAACGAUACAUGUCGACCAACAAUACUAUAGGAGUAGGAUUCCGAUGAUAAACCCACCUCGAUCGCUAAUCCAAUCCGGCGCGACGUUGAGAACGGUGGAAUCGCACCCUCGCCCGGCCUCCUCGCGACGCUACGGCAACAAACGUGCGCUCGAACGGCUUCGCCACACGACGUCGGCGACGAACGCUCCACUUGAGCUCCUCCUCCUUGCGUAUGGCUCCAGAGAAAUACAGAGAGACAAGGAAACAAAGAAAUACCCACCUUGACAUGUUGAUAAGCUU
rnacentral:lncRNA from 1 species